UCAAUGGGUUCCUCUUUCCUCCUCAGAGA
rnacentral:piRNA from 1 species